UGGGCAAGGUCACAGAGAACAGGGGAAUCCCUGGGAAUCUUUCAAAACCCCAUCCAAGCACAAAAGCUUAUGCUAACCCCAGUCAGAACUCUGCCACCCAUCAGGAAGGCAUUCUUUCAUUUUCUAAGCUUCAUAAUUAUCCAGUGGAUCUCUUUGUUAACCAGAAGUUAUCUAAUUAACAAUCUGGCAUAUCACCUCUGAGAUAGUAAACCUCUUUGGUUUUUUUUUUAAUUUUAAUUAGCUACUUAUUCAACCCUAUGGUUCAUUGAAUACUUAUUAUCUACCCAGUAAUUAUCAGCUGCCGUGGGAGAGAAAUGUGGGACUAAGUAAGAGUCAUCAGACAGCUUACUAGUCGGCAGACAUGGAGAAAUCGCUAAGCAGUAGCCAAGCCAGCCAAUUCGGAGGGCGAAAGCUGGUCCAACUCACACCUCAAAACAUAAGAAUCUUGAUCGCGUGGGCUGUCAACUCUGGUUCCGUCCCUUCAUGGAGUCUCUUCGUGUGCUGUAUUGUAGGUGCCUUUUCACUUUCAAUAAAACUCUCCUGAUGGC